AUGAACGCUGGCGGCGUGCCUAAUACAUGCAAGUCGAACGGGAAGCUUGGAGCGAUCUAAGCUGAGAGUGGCGCACGGGUGAGUAACACAUGGCUGACCUGCCCUCCAGAGGGGGAUAACGGCUGGAAACGGCCGCUAAUACCCCAUACGCUCCCUGAGGUUAGAGGCUUAGGGAGGAAAGCUAUGGUGCUGGAGGAGGGGGCUGUGGCCCAUCAGCUAGUUGGUAGGGUAAAGGCCUACCAAGGCGACGACGGGUAGGGGGCCUGAGAGGGUGACCCCCCACACUGGGACUGAGACACGGCCCAGACUCCUACGGGAGGCAGCAGUAAGGGAUCUUGCGACAAUGGGCGAAAGCCUGACGCAGCAACGCCGCGUGCGGGAUGACGGCCUUCGGGUUGUAAACCGCUUUUCGAGGGGAAGAGGGAGGACGGUACCCUCGGAAUAAGUCUCGGCUAACUACGU
rnacentral:rRNA from 1 species